AUUCGAUCGACAUUUUACCCAGACAGCAUCUCUUUCAACAUUACAAGUUUUAUCUAUUAAAAUGAAAAAUAAAGCAAUAGAUUAAUAUACGAAAUAGAAUGAUCAUGACAUUUGGAUAUGAUUUGUGGAAUUUAUAACGCCUACCACCUAAGACAUCACUCUGACCAUUCAAAAUUAAAAAAUGAGAAUAAGACAUCACAAAUAGAAUUUUACCUACUUGAUAUACUGUCAGUGGUAGAGUAAUCACUAAUCUCAGAGUUACGG